rnacentral:rRNA from 1 species
AAUAGAUACCCGGGUAGUCCACGCCGUAAACGACGAGUGCUAAGUGUUAGGGGGUUUCCGCCCCUUAGUGCUGGCAGCUAACGCAUUAAGCACUCCGCCUGGGGAGUACGGUCGCAAGACUGAAACUCAAAGGAAUUGACGGGGGCCCGCACAAGCGGUGGAGCAUGUGGUUUAAUUCGAAGCAACGCGAAGAACCUUACCAGGUCUUGACAUCCCAUUGACCGCUAUGGAGACAUGGCUUUCUCUUCGGGGACAGUGGUGACAGGUGGUGCAUGGUUGUCGUCAGCUCGUGUCGUGAGAUGUUGGGUUAAGUCCUGCAACGAGCGCAACCCUUGUUCUUAGUUGCCAUCAUUUAGUUGGGCACUCUAAGGAGACUGCCGGUGACAAACCGGAGGAAGGUGGGGAUGACGUCAAAUCAUCAUGCCCCUUAUGACCUGGGCUACACACGUGCUACAAUGGACGGUACAAACGGUUGCCAACCCGCGAGGGGGAGCUAAUCCGAUAAAACCGUUCUCAGUUCGGAUUGUAGGCUGCAACUCGCCUAC